rnacentral:rRNA from 1 species
AUGGCUCAGAUUGAACGCUGGCGGAAUGCUUUACACAUGCAAGUCGAGCGGCAGCGCGGUCUUCGGACUGGCGGCGAGCGGCGAACGGGUGAGUAAUACAUCGGAACAUGCCCAGUCGUGGGGGAUAACACUUCGAAAGAAGUGCUAAUACCGCAUACGUCCUGAGGGAGAAAGCGGGGGAUCGCAAGACCUCGCGCGAUUGGAGUGGCCGAUGUCAGAUUAGCUAGUUGGUGGGGUAAAGGCCUACCAAGGCAACGAUCUGUAGCUGGUCUGAGAGGAUGAUCAGCCACACUGGGACUGAGACACGGCCCAGACUCCUACGGGAGGCAGCAGUGGGGAAUUUUGGACAAUGGGGGCAACCCUGAUCCGGCCAUUCCGCGUGAGUGAAGAAGGCCUUCGGGUUGUAAAGCUCUUUCGGCAGGAACGAAACGGCGAGCUCUAACAUAGCUCGCUAAUGACGGUACCUGAAGAAGAAGCACCGGCUAACUACGUGCCAGCAGCCGCGGUAAUACGUAGGGUGCGAGCGUUAAUCGGAAUUAC